rnacentral:lncRNA from 1 species
AUGAAUUAAUUCCUCCCACUGUCAGCUAGAAGCCAUCCCUGGCUGAGCCCUGCACUGGCCAGAGGCAACUGAGUGUGAGCCAGUCCAGGGUCAGAUCCUGGGCUGAUGCCACCUGAGGGCGGGGUGGGGGCGUGGCCUCCGUGCACAUGGGAGACUCCAGGUGCAGGAGAGGGGGAGGUGGACUUCCUCUUGGUCUUCCCAAGCCAUGAAACUUCCUGGCUUGGUGGUAACAGAAGAGUCUCCUCCAGGACGGACUAGCCAGUCCUAACACAGGACUAGCGUUGCUCUACCACGUCCAAGCCUCCUCUGAGAUUCUUCCUCCAUGCAACCACUUCCCCUGGGGCGUGGCCACCUCCCUGGAAGCCGCCAGCAUGCUCGGCUGGGCCCCCGCACUCUGGAGGCUUGAGAAUCUCUCUAUUUUUGAAUGACGUCCUUAUCCUCUGCCCCCAGGCUGUUCCCUUGAAGAAUCCACCUUCCUGCAGGGUUGGGGGAGCGCAGAAUGGGAGGAAGAUACAAAUACCAAUUUUAUAGCAAGAAUGCAAAAAGAGGCCAGCGCGGUGGCUCGAGCCUGGAAUCCCAGCACUUUGGA